UCUAAUUGAGACAGCACUACAGUUAGAAGA
rnacentral:piRNA from 1 species